rnacentral:tRNA from 1 species
GCCUGGAUGGCUCAGUCGGUUAAGCAUCUGACUUCGACUCAGGUUAUGAUCUUAUGGUUCAUGGGUUUGAGCCCAGUAUCAGGCU